GGCCCGUUAAGGCCUUUGUCCGUUGUCGUUAGGACUACCGACGGCCGGCAGGGUCCGGACUGGGAGAGGCCGCCGCCGCCAUCAGUCACCGAGGGUAGUGGUGGAUACCAACUUUGGAGAUGAGGAGAUAUUCUCUAAAGUUCUCUUCAGAAGGGGCUGAGGAGGAUGGAAAAUGAAGACUCUCCCAAAGGGUGGAACCAAGAGCUGUGGAGGACAAGGACACCAGAGCCACUCCCAGUGAACAGAACCACAGCCUAAUCAAGGAACAGACUCUAUCACAAGAUCAAGAGGAGCUGGAUCAAGCCUCAGGUAGAACAUGAGGUGCUGGACUUUAAGAAUGAUGACAGGAUGGAUGAAGAAACAGAGACACCAUGAAGAUAAGACUAUGUCAUCAUGUCUUCAACAUCUGGAAAACUCCAAUGCACACAUGUGAGAGUAGGCCAGAGAGAGAGACCUAUCUGAAACCAGCUUGGGCAGCUGGAGAAGAAUGAGGGUGAGCAGACAUCUGGGCAAGCCGGAGUUUGGGAAAACUGCCAUCUUCGACCUUUCUGGAGCAGCAAGAUACUGGGAAUAUGGACUUUGGAGCUGGGCAGCCCUUUUGUGACCAUGAGGCAACAUUGAAGAUGCAAGCCACAUGCUAAGACAGAAGAAAAUAAAGACAGAACUAAGCUGGGGCAUGUAUGACAUUUCAAGCUCUCAGAUCAGCCCUUGAUGGCCACCAUCCAUAUUUAUUGACAUGAAAAGAAGUCCUCAUUUUGUCAAAGCCAAUGAUAUUCAGGACUGUUAUUAAUAACAAAAUACAAUUCUUCCCUCUACCCACUACAGUGUAUCAUGAAACUCUUCAAACAUAUAGGAAAGUUGAGUAUGGAAUCUCUAUCUCCAGCCUUGAGGUCUCACCUGGACUCUUGGUUAUUCAAUGGACUACUCUGCAUCUCCAUGUGCAUCUCUAAUAUAGACUCCUCAACCUUAAUGUAUCCACAACUGAACCUUUGGUUCUGUACCACUCCCGUCUUGCUCCUUGUCUCUCCGUUUCCCCAUCUCAGAAAUUAACAA
rnacentral:lncRNA from 1 species